UUUGUGAUGCUGGCUGACACAGCCUUCCAUCACAGCCAGGGAGUGCAAAGCUCGUGCAGGUACGGACCUCUAUGUGCAGGACUCAGCACAUCUCUCCUGCAGAAGUGGUGGAAAAGGGCCGGAAUGAGCUGAUAUAGAAAGGAAAUCCGCACAGCUCCUCGCUGCGUUUGCCUUGGGAGAACAGAGUGUCAGGGGUUCACCCGAGCAUCAACGUGCAGACAAACAAUCUUAACUAAUGAAGAAAGCUUCCUGCCUUGAUCCCUGCACGCUUCAGGAUGCAGAAGACAGAUCAGGAUACGGCCACACAGGAAAAAGAAAAUCAGAAGCGAGGUGAAAUACUGCAAGGACAAAGCAGAAGUACUGACGCAAAAUGCAAAGGCGUGUUAUCUGAAUUAGCUGCAAACAAAGCAGAUAGGCUGGAAUUUGCAUUUUCUUUUGAACCAUAGGGCAGCUUCUCUUGUGAAUCACACCAGCUCUGCCGGCAGCGAGGUUCAGGAAAGACUCAGGAAAAGGCUAACAGCCUGACAGAUAGGAAGCCUGCCUCCUUGAAGAUAAUUAAAUUAUAGAGACACCAUACAGGGAGACUAAGGAAGCAACAGCAGAGGAGCAGAUACCGAUCACUUCAGCACAUGAGAACUGAAUCCCUUGGCAAUGGCCUGCCUUGGCCCGAAGGGAUGCGGUGUGUGUCGGACACUGCAACAACCCGCAGCCAUCAGGUGCCUGGGGCUCCAUCUCGUCCCAAACAAACUGUGUUGGGAAGGCUCAGGAAAAGGGACGGAGAUGCACAGAAUUUGGAAACCAGCUUGGCAAGCCCUGGACAUCCAAGGAAACAUGGUAACUCUCAGCUGGCCACAGCAUGUCAGGAAACAACGCGUCCCAAAGAAGACACAAAGAGCAGAAACCACUCCUGCAAGCAGCUGCAAGGAGUCAUUUCCAGAGAUCCCAGUGGGCUGUGGAGGCACAGCCACUGCAUCCAUGUCAGCUACACGAUGCAGGGCCCUGAGCAGCGCAGAGAGGGGACUGGCCCUGAUUCCAUUUACUCAGCUUCUUCUAAACCCAGUGCAGGGAGAGGUCCCACACUGCUGCUUUUCUUGUGAACGGCCACGUCAGUGGCUUAUAAGCAAUACCAAAGCUCCCUCAUCUCAAUUAACUGCCUCUCCUUUGCACAGGAAUAGCAGAUGCUGUCAAGCAACAAACAGAUAAUCCUCAGAAAAGCAGAGGUACUAAUCAGUUGCUUUUACAUUUAAGAUUACUAGGAGUUGCCACUGCCUAAUGCUGUUUUUCUAAUUAAUUGCACUGGAAUGCACUUAAGCAAGCCCUGGAUCAAAGAAUCAACUGCACAGAUUGAAAUAAAUCCUGUCUGCUGCUAAUGCCUUGGAAAUGGAUGACUUGCUAAGCAUUCAAAAUCCAAUGGUGCCAAUGGUUUAAAACUACAAAUAGUGCGAGAAUCCUGCAAAGGAGUAGAGCUAAGAAUAAAGAGGAAAAGGCUUUCGUCUUUUACUUUAAACAAAAGCAAGUGUUGAACUAAUUCAUGUUGUAGUUCGUAUAUCUUAAGUUCCUUAUUCUCUGCAUUCCUAGCACCAGAAAUCAUAAUGCAGAAGUGUCAAUUUGCAUUGCAGUGAAACUCUAUCAUCAUUACAGAUUUAUUUACUUUUUAUUCACUUUAACGAAGGAUUGAAAUCUUUUCAAAAUAAUGAUAAAUAAAAAUGACUGGGGAUGGAUGUGUUGCCGGCUGGCGCAAUAAAUCACUGUCUCUUUCUGCACGAGUCUCUCCCAUGGUUUAAAAUAUCAUCAGAAUGCCUUUGAUUGAUUUACAAUUUAGUAAUCCAGCCAUCAUCAUCCCUAAUUCCACAAUAAACCACGCCACUUCGUGUCGCUGCUACAGAUGUUCAGAAGUUCAUUCCCUGCCUUUUAAGAGGUGAUAUCUAGACAGCAGCUGCAGACACCAGGAUUAGUUGGGGAAAAAAAAAUCUGUCUUCAGACAGUAAAACAUCCCAUUUUCCUAUAACAGCGCCUUGCUUUAAAGCUGGAAGGCGCGCUGGCAACCUGGAUACGUCCACAUUCAAUUAUUCAGCACCAAGUCUGUGUACGCACACACGCACACCGCUGUUCCUGGAGUAACAAGAUGCCUGCGCUUCUGUCUGAAAUAUUUCCUAGGAAAUCAAGGCACUAUUAACAGCCAGAUGUGAAGCACCCAUGAACGGGCAUGCAGCACACAGCAGCUGACCUCACAUGGGCCUUGCCAGCCCCAUGACAGCCUCGCUGCAGAGCCAGAGCUUGGGAAGUGCUCUCACUGCUCCUGAAGGCAGUGCAGAAGGGCCUGCAGCUGCAGGGAGAUGCUGCUGCUCCUUAUGCUACACCAGCACUUCUGAAAGCACAACUGGGGACUUCAUGGUCAUCGUUACCUUUUUUUCCCACAACUUACUGAACUGAAAACAGUAGGUUAAGUCUUAAUUUCAACUUCUUUUGCUUGAGCCUGAAAACAACACAGCAUGAGCUUGGCUUGCAAUUAACAGUUAACGCUGCUUCCCAAAGAAGUGGAAAAUCUUUAACGUGCACAGUGCAAGGGGCAGAUAUUUUACACCACACAGCACCAGCACGUUCCUGCAGGCUCAGCAGCCAGAGUUCAUUGAAAGCAGGCACACAAACAUCCAGCAGGAACUGUCAGAGUUACAGCCUAGGUCACAGCAACAAUUUCUCUCCUAAGUGAAUCACCAUGCUGAGGAAGCCAACAAAUACUGCAAAACCCAUUAGCUGGGCAGUGCCGGAAAGCACUGCUCUACAUCCAUCAUGUGGCCAGGCCAGCACCCUGAGGUGACAGUGACCAGCUCCAGGUACAUCAGCGACCAAGGAUGCGGUGACAGGAGUCUCUGCCUUCCUCCUGCCUGUACCUGCAGGCAUCACACAGACAAACUGGUGGCUUGGCUCCUCACAGGGGCAUGGGAGCCUUCAACACGUCAGCAGCCAAAGGCUUUCUCUGCUGGGUGAUCCCUCAGAUCAUUACAGGCCGAAGAGCUGGCAAGAGAGAACUUAAGGUUUAGGCUACUGUGGGUGUCCUGCUCUGGAAGGGAGGGAUGUCACGCCUGGCAAACACAGCUCCUCCAGCCUCCAAUGGUGCUCAGUGAGGCUGUGUGCCCCGCAGCAACUUGCAGGACUAACAGCUAGCAGAAGAGCAGCAAUGUGCUGAACAUGACUUUGAAAAGCUGCUUUUGAUUCGAAAGUCCUCGUGUGGUUGUUUGGUUUUUUUAAACACAGAUCAAGAUUAUUGCCUACCCUUCCAUAGGAAGUACUCUGGAAGGCUCCCAGCUCCCCUGCAGCUUCACUGCAAAUGGAUGGAACGAUGCGCCUGGAUGUGCACGAUGCAAUUCCCCAAAGCACUGCCUUCAAGUGAGAAGGAGCAGUCCUCCUGCACCUCCUGCAGCCUGGGAGCACCCAGCACUCCAGCACAAAGGGAAAGUGAAGCUUGGAUGGAGCGGCCCUGCUCCCACUAGAUGGCAGCUGCCUGCUGCAGAAUGGCGGGUGAUGCUGGCAGCAUCCACGGAGCCUCCCCAGGGCAACACUUGUCUUCCCUUCUUAUGGGAUCUGUUGUAAGCACUACGUCUGAAGGCCACAAAAGUGCAGUUUCAUGUCAUUGGGUGGGUGGGGGAGCAACGACCGUGUGCCCCCCUCCCUUGAGGGGCAGCAAUGCCAGCCGACAGAGCCACAGGUUCAGCUCAGUGCUGCUGAGCAUGAGCUCAGGCUGAGAGCAUCCUCCCAAGGCAGGUUGCUGCACGCACAGCUCUCCUCCCAGGUGUUUAUAUUUCCAGUGCAGAUGUACAUACUCACUGCUUACUGAAACACCGCAUGCAAAGUGCCCUCGGCCUGCAGGUCAGGCUGCAUACAUAACCACGAGGCACUGGGUUUUGUGUGGAGAGAUUACCAUUCUGUACCUGCUGAGCCUCCUGCUAAAGUCUCUCCCUCAGGCUUGACUAAGAAACCUCACCUCCAAAAAACGAACACAGGGUAUUUCGCCCUCACUCAUUAUAGGAAAGUUCUGCUGGCAGAGCCAUAGCUGGAAGAAGUAAAUAACACAAGAACGUUGUCAGCCAAAGAGCCACGCCAGCAAGUUGUGGGUGGCUAUCUACACAGCUGUGGGCCCAGCUUAUUCUGUCCAGGGAAACGGGGUAAGUUGCAGAGGCAGAGGAAAGCUUGCCAGUGUGAGUUCUCUUCCAGAAGGCGUUUAUCAGCACAGCUCCACUGAAAUAAUCCCAUUCUGAAUGCAGGCAUGUCCUUAGUCUCUCUGUCAAAACAAUUCAUCACAGAGAAAAAGUUUCUCGUGUUUGGUAAAUUCUGAAACAGGAAUGUGGCAACUGAGAUCCCUAACCCAUGCAGGGCUAAGACUCUGCCCGCUGGGACCUGCUCCUUCAAACUGCUGCGCAGGGACAGGCUCUCACUCAUCGCCAACCAGGGAAGGAUGAGAGCUGGGAUCUCGUUUUAAGAGGCUGUUUCCAGCCCAGAGCCAUCCAGCCCCUUGACUGUCUCCUCACAUGAGAAUUUAUCUUUCCUCUGAGUACUUUGCCAACAGGAGCUGGGUGGGGGUAGCAGGGUCAUUGCAAUCCAUUCCUUUGAAUCCCCUGUGGAAUCUCAGCCUGGCGUAUUUCAUUUUUUCAUCUCAAAGAGAUGGGUGUGUACAUAAGAAAAAGAUCUGGGAAAUGUUUAGCAUCACAGCAACUGCCAGCAAUGCCUCCUUUGUUUGCUCCAUUUAGCCCGAUGAUGUUUUUUAUCAUCAAUUAGCUCAAACAGAGAAAAGCUCCAUCUCUCAGCCGACUGUGGGACACAGGUGCUGGGGUUCAAGUUGUCGCUGUUCCUCUCUCUGUGAAGCCAGGCUGAUGCUUGUUGUGCAUCCUGUUCUUCCAGUCAGCCUGGAGACAAGUGCCAGAGCUGGCAUGAAAGGCAUGUAGCGCAAGCACAGAGAAACCAAAGGUAAAUUCCUCCCACUCCAUGCUUGGGCUUGGUGUACCUGUUACUACACGCUUGUGUGCCUUUCGCCAGAUCUAACAAAGCAGAAGCAGGAGCAAUCGUUGAGAGGGACAAGGAAGGGGGUUGCUAGCAUUGAAAAUGAAUAUUGAAAGAAUCAGUACAGCAAAGAUUCGCAGUGCACACUCCAGGGAGACAAGGUCUUCCUACUGGAGAAUCCCCCGCAGGGAGGAACAGCAGCAAUAAAUUUGGAAUAGGAAAAAAAAAAAAAAAAAAAAGAGAAGAAAUCCAAUCACAUACUCUAUACUUAAAAAUUAAAAAGACUACCAGAUGCAAUUACAUUCAUGAUUAAAAGAUCUAACAGAAGCAUAUUUAAAUUCAUUAACUUAGUCCACACUUCAGCACCUCAGGAGACCAGCUGCUCCUGGAAUACAGGGCAGCAAAAUACAAACUACAUCUUGCUUGUAUUUGAUCAAAACCUUUUGAAAGUUUCAAUGAUCUGGCUGUUAACAUCUCUUAGGUGAUAAUUAGGCUCUAGGGGCAGCAAACAUUGUUUGGGAGAGAGAACGCACCGUGGAAACCCAAGUAGUGGAGCCUUCUGCUCUGCUAAAGAGCCAGUUAUUCCACCUAUAAGAAAAAAGCAGGCAAGGGCAAAAUGAAGCCAUUUUCAAACAGAGAUUCAUUUUGCCUGUGUGUAUCAGCAAUCAGCAGAUGAUCACCUCUGUGUGAACAGUUUACUUUAGAUUUUGCUCAUUUCUUGCAUCUCGUAUUUUCACCAAGAGAUUGUAACCACUGCACGCUGCAGCUCGCUAGCACAGCGCUCCUCCAAAAGCAGACGUGGAGGGGUCCUUCAUACAGUGUUUGACAGCUGCUGGGUAGCAGCUGGGCUGGGCAGACCCUCACCAACCCGCACCCUGCCAGGCAGAGCCCAGUGCUGCAGGGCAAGGUGUGGGUGGGGAAUUUCAGGAGGUGCCUGGAAGAGCCAGAGCCUCUCUGUGGCUUCGACAGCAGGGCAGACGCUCAACAGUUUUCUCAGGAUGAUCCACAGGAAGGUAUUAAAUUAACAGCAGAGGCACCAAGUUUUUCCCUUCCAAUUACUGCCGUGGGAUCUACUUCCCAGCAACUGGACAGGAAGAGGCUUAAUUAAAGAGAAAUGGGAAAUUCUGUUUAUGGCUGGGUCUGACAUAUCCAAGAGAAGCCUUCAUCUCCAUAUGCUGCAUCUGGUUUUGGUCUCCUCCGUGCUGCAAGGCAGUGCCCUCCAUAUAGAUGCUUUCCUUCUCAUGGGGAAUAAUUUUGACAGUUUGAGUCAACUUGGGUCUUUCCUGUUCUUGCACAGUCCCCAGCAACCAAGUGCAAGAAACACCAAAUGACACAGCUGGCCUUUAAGACAGACAGCUACAAGUGUGCCUGAACUGUCACACAGAUGUUUUCAGGGCCCCUUCCUGCGUUUUACUCUGGUGCACUGCUAUCAAGACGCAGCAGAGCUCUGCAAUGUGGAGCUGCCUGCUCUCCCUCUGAGCCCCUGAGAAGAUACACCGUUCCCAAGAAGCUGCAGUUCUGCUCAAAACCACCAAAGACCAGCAGAUUUAGACUCCAUCUGUUAGUGCCACACAAAGAGCAUUUCCUCCCUGUCUGCAGAUGUAACUGAAGUGCCCGGUUUCUUCCUGCAUCACUAAAGAAACCUUGAUGACAUUCACAUGCUAUGCUGGUACAGUUCUGCUCCACUCUACUUUAUUUCUCCUUUGCUGAUGAAUAACUGGAGAGGUCUAUUUUGUUUUGCUUUAAAAGUCAUGCAAGACAGCUGACUUCCACUGACAAAAAACUGAAAGCCAAGAAUAAGUCAGGUAUUCAAUCACAGCCUCAAAACGUUCCCUGUUCAAGCACCAGUGUGUCAAUAGCUCACAGCUGAGGAUAUGGAAGUGAAGCUCCUGCAGGGGCUGGAGGAAGAUGCUCUUCCGUGACUCAUCAGGCAUCCUUCCAGCAAACAAGGGCAUAGUGGUGAGUGAUGGGAUUAGUCAGAGAAAUUGUACUGUGACCAAAAGCAAGAGGAAAAUAUAAGAAAGAAUGGGGAAGAACAUGGAAAGUAGCACCGGUUGAAAAAUACUCAAUUUUCAACUCAAAAUAUUUUCAACUAACUCAACUGUGGGCACUUGACUUCGGACAGGUUUCCAUCUUUGAAUAAAGGCGUUCUCAGUUCCUCAUCCUCAUGAACAGUAACUACUUUUUUUCUUUGUUAGAUGUAAGAAUAAGUAUCAUAAGUAUGACAUCACGUUUCAAACGCAUGGGAAGAUUUCCCCUUACUGCCACAGUUCUGGGACAAUCCUUAACAUGGCCCCAACAGCAAAAUCUACAUGCUCCGGUCCCUUUUACUACAAAACAGCUUUCCUGAUUGGGACCCAGAUUUCAACCUGAAGUGAAGUUACUCACAGCAAAACCUGAACAUUUUUCAUAGAAUAAACAUGCUAUGCAUGUGAUUUAGGAAACAGGGGGAUUAAGUUUAAGUGAGGAAUUUACAUGAGAUUGUGAAUGAGUUUUCCUCUUCCUAGAGUUCUCUUCCUCAGAUGAAAAACGUUCUUAGAUGCAAAUAAUCAGCAAGAUGUCCAUUAAUACCACGGACACAAAAUCCUGUGGAUGAAGCUUCCAACAGCACUUACAGCAAUCGGGUACCAAGAGCCUCUUGCAAAGACAGACGUGCCUUACAUUGUUCUCAUCGUCUGAGUGCCUGCUGUGAGACUUGAGAUUGGGUACUGGAGCGGGUAGAUGGCAGAUUUAUGAAUCACAUUCCAAUUUGUUAACCCAAAAAACCUUCGAAAGCUUUUAUUACCUUUCCCUUCAUCUCAAAGUUAGUGGUUAUCCUUGAAAACAGAUAGCUCCAUCUGCACUUUUAUUCAUCCCCAAUGAAUACAUAGCUUGCCUUUAAACACAGAAUCUCAUCUGAGCCUUAAGAAGUAGGAAAAUAUUCUUAAAGAAAAACUCAGAACGACCCAGAUGACAAGGUAGGAAGGACCAGGAAGGCAGAGAAGAAAGGAAGAGCUUCAGAUGAGUAGUGAUUAAAUUUGUCACAUUUAAAUUUAAUUUGUUUGAUUACAUUUCCAAAAUUACCUAAAGUAUUGAAUAUACCAGCCUUCAGUUCACUGUUAAGUCAAUCUGGUUGUAAAACAAAACAAAGGGCUUCCCUUUUAAAGAAGCAAAAUAAAAAAUAUUAGACGACUUCUGUUUUAAAACACAGGAGAAAGAUGUUCUGGUUGAACAGCACAGUUAACUCUCUGUUCAGCCAACAUCUGGGAUGAGGUUAGCUGCACUAGUCAUCACCACACAGGGUUCUUUUUACCCUUGUACCUACUCUCAUUUUUCCCUUUUUCUUUACAUGGACAAGGUUUCCAUAGGUCUUAGUGAAAAAAAAAAGUAAAUGCAUUCCACUCCAAAAAGAAGAAACCAAAACAUUUCAAAUGAUUACCAAUGAUAAAGAUGAAUUACAAAGAAACCUGGCCUGGCUGCAAGCUGACAGCUGAACACCUCAGGCGUCGACUUUCACUGCUAACACCAGUAACACCAGGAACUUCUGUCUGCAUGCUAUUUCAACACUGGCACUUCUCAGAUAGUGGUAACAUGGUGUAGUGGGAAAUGGUGGUAGUGGGUGGAUGGCUGGACUCGAUGACCGUGGAAGUCUUUUCCCACCUUGGUGAUUCUAGGAUUCUACAAGUAGGACCCCAAUGGUGAUGUCAUCUUUCUGCUAGAAAGGGAAGAGACACUCUAUUGAGGAUGUGUGGAUCCAUCAGAUUGUUCGAAGGUAGAGCUUCUGAAAACUCCCAGCUGGAGCUAUUGUGCUUUCAGUGCCUCCAGCAGGCUUGUCAAGCUAUGGGAAUGCCAUCAGACCCAGGAACUCUUACCCAGUUUGUCCUGACUUCCAGCAGUGCCCAGCCACCCCGUGCUGUGGUUCUGCUGGGUUGGGACAGAGCUGAAGGCUGCUCCUUGUUAGUUUGACAGAGGAAUCAGGCCAUAAGGGAUUGCAACAACAUGCACGUAUCUCAUAGCUUAGGCAGAGGCUGAAUGACCCAUAUUCUUUGGAAGGCCAACUUGUGAAAAAAGAAAUUGUCAAAACUUGUGUACAGAGCCAAGCACUGUUCUCUCCACAGAGUUAUGACUUAUUUGCCAUUACUGCAAUGUCAACCUUCUGUGCCCAGUUUAUUGCCUGGGACUCUGCUGAUCUCACUGGCUUCAGCUGAAGCACUGGGGACUCCCAGCCGUCCUACUGCAGCCAAGAAAAUUAAACACUCCUCCCUUGCUAAUUCACUACGAAGCUAAAAGGCAAAAAAUAAAAGUCUGAGUAGAAAACUGGUGCCUCUUACUUCAGUCACUGCUCUGCCAUGACAAGACAGUUUCCCAGUCGGUUCACAUGGAAUCUACCAACUCCAUAAUCCCUCCUGCCCACACGUACAGGCAAAGUGGUUUUUAUACUGUUGUGACUGGAUGUUAUAAAAACCAAAAGAUUUGUGAAUUGCCAGAUUCACGUGUUCAGAAAAUUUGACUCAGGCCCCUGGAAAACCACUGGGCCAGCUGAAAAAUUCCACCGCUUGAGGCUGACCUCAUUCUGUUCAGCUCCAAGAACUCUGGCACUGGACCCCAGGAUCCUUCUAGCUCCAAGCCGUUCACUCUAAAUACACUAGAGCUGCAGGAGGUGUCCUCUGCCAAACCUCCAUCUCUCACAGCAGCAAUGCCUCUGCUCAUCACAAGCAGUCAUGAUUUCUGUUAGUUGUGGCCCAGUUAUAGUCUAUUUUAGGAUUUUCAGAAGCUGUUGAAAACUAAUAUCCUCUCACUCCCUCCUCCUAGAAUCUCAUUUAUCACUCUGCCUCCUGCACAGUUACAAUUCUCUCUCUUAGCUGGCAAUUUCUUUACUGUGAUAGGAAUUUUGGAUGACCCUAAGGGUUUGUAAGCACAUGGGUGCAGUGGACCAAACUAGAAAGUGAUAAGGAAAGAUUGAAGCAAUUGCAACUGUUAGGCUGAGGGAAAUUGCACUAAUUAAAAGGAAAAGGGAUGGUAAACAGUGAGAGACAAAAUAUGAAGAUACUCCUAAGAUACUCAGAAGCAGUAGCACCCAAGCAGCAGAGACUUGUGAUCUGUCCUGCCUACAGAGCAGUUCUCUGAGGCAGGGCUAUGAAAUAAUAAGAAUGAAUAAGUUAGUAGCAUGUGGAUUCGUUCUCCAAAUGCAUUCAGUGUCUGCUGGAGUAUUUUCAGCACAUUUUUACAACUGUGUGCACCACAGUCACCAAGAUCACAAAAAUGGCAGUAGAACUAGAUUUUGCCUUGUGUCUCAAAUACAACUUGUUAGCCAAGCUUGAUUACCAAGGCUUGUCCAAGAUGGCAGUUGGUUAGCCACAUGGUGGCACACAUUUAGACAAUGUGCACACAUACAAUAGCAGAAAUAUUUUGGCUUACAGAAUCAGCAUAACAAGCAGUGAUGCUUAAUGUGUUAAGACUUGAUGGCUAAAUACCUGACUGUAUUUGUUGGUCCAACUAAGUUCUACUUGCAAUAUCAUUCGACUCACACAUGACUGCUAAUCUGACUUACAGGUAUUUUUAAACAAGCAAAUGCUACUUACGCAUAAGAUGUGGAAACAAAAACAGGUCUAUAAAGGAAGGUGGUUCAGGAGGAAGGCAAGCUUUUCAGAACCGCUGUACUAAUCAGACGCCAUUGUUUCUAAAUGUCAGCUGUGAGUUACUGAAGUCUUCCCACAGGCCAGCUCAAACUUGCACUAAGAUAGCUGUGGGAUACAAGAGUGCACACAGGAGGAGGAGGAACUCAGUCUCUCCCAGGGCUGCUGCCCCUCAGGCUGACCUCUGGUGAAGCAAACACACCUCUCUCCAACCCAGCAGGGCUCUUUCCCACAGGCAGAACCACUCUUGAUACGCUGACAGUGCACCGGUUCAGAAAGCCAAGGAACACCACAUUCAGGGGAUUGCCAUUUGGUACCAAGCAUUUGUACGCUGGCAAACACAACUAAGCACCAGCCUCCUUUUCUGCUGUGUGCUGUGGCAUAUCCGCUGCUGCAAUCUAAAAAUGCAUAGCAUGGGUCAGGCAAGGGCCAGAGGUAGCUGCCAAACACUGCUGAUCCCAAAUCUGCCUUAUGUCUGGCGAGUGGCACGAGUACAAAGGUUGUUUUAAGUUUAUGGGCUGUCAGUGGCUCCUGUGGACCAAUAAAGCACCAGGAGAUCAGCAGUAGCGUGUGAAGAAACCCACUCCGAUUCCUUUAAAUUAACAGUGGGGAGCCGCAGUAAAGACUCUGGGGUGCAACAGGGCUCCUUCCCUCAGCUGAGAUAACAGCUGUACCGCUGUGCAUCCCUCACUGCGUAUCAGUGCAGACCAAAGCAGCCACGAGACCUUCGGCUCUGUAUGGAAAGGCAAUGGAAGAAUAUACACCAUAUAUCCCCCAGGUCCUGAAACCCCUCAUAAUGCCUAAAGACUAAUUAUACAAGCACACAUCUCUGAGCUUCUUACUUCAUGCAACUUGCUGCCUUGCUUUCAAACAAUGCUCCCUCUCCUUUUUGUGCACAUUCGUAUCAAAACACAAACGAACGGACAAAGCCAAAACGUCCCAACUUUUCAUCUCAUUAUGGGCAUCUUCCUUGCAGCUCGCUCAUUUUACUCUCUCAGGUCUGAGCACUCCCAACAGCAGGUUUCCAGGAGCAAAUGAGGUGAGCUAAAUUACUGGAAGUUUACCAAACGAAAAGGAAAUAAAGACCUCAAACACCUCGUGGACUGUUCUCUCCCUCAAAUCAGUAGCUUGUUUAUUCUAAUAAUAAUAAAGCAGGCAGAAGGAUGCAAUUAAUGUCAAGCACAAUUCAUUCUUGUUACUUUUCUAAAGGUCCUAAAGGUCCUAAAAUCAAAACCAGGAAUUCUGACUUUGAAGCGACGUACACACAAAAACACAAAAAACUUUUGUAUGUAGGAUUUUCUAACUUAGCAACAUCCAUGUGCAAUGUGAGCUGCUCAGCAAAUUGAGGCAGGAAAUACAUUAACUGGAAGCUCAUUUAGGGCAGAACUAUUUUACCUCAUAUUUGAAACUAUUCCACCAGGUUAUUUCACUGCAGAAAAGCAGAACAUUUUGGAGAGGAGAAUGAGUGCACUACGGGGAAGGGGAAAGGAGGAGAUUUUCAACUGUAGCUUUCUGGCUAAAAUGGAAAGGAAGCUAUUUCUGGUGAAAUGGACUCUCUCCCACACCCAAUUAAUGGAUAAAUCGUGUAAGAAAAAUGUCUCCAUCCCAAGGCAGACCCAAUUAUGUUCUGCAUUAACCAAAACAUAUGGGAACAUUUCAGUAUAAACAAAAACUGCACUGUAUGAGCUUUCUUCUAUGAGCUUUCCAGUUCAUUUAACCCUUGCUAUGGUGCACAUUAACUACAGACUGAGGUUACUGGUAUAACACUCCACUGAGUAUUUUUUGGCUGCGAUAACUCCUAGAUUUUAUGUUGCAGAAUUGAAAGCCUACCAUCAGCCCUGUUCUGGUCUUUACACCAGGUUUUUCAGCAGAAGGAGCUGGAUGUUGAGUGGGCUUCCACAACAAAGCCUGGUUUUUUGAAAAGAAGCACGGCAACACUUAAAAUUCAUGAGAAUGAUGAUUUUAGAUGCUAUUCAUGGGAGCUCAGGCUCCAGAAUUACCUGGCUGCUUUUGAAAACACCACCACCAAGUUCUUGCUUCUGCCCGUUCCUGACUGUGUGCUUGUCCACCUUUGCACACCAGCAUGAUGAAUGUCCACCACUCUGAUCUUUGUGGAGUCCCAGAGCAGCCAAGCCCAGCCCUGCUGAGAUCAGCCCUGUUGAGAUCACCAGCUGUACAAUUGCCUUUUGGCGACGUGGAAGAGGAGCUAUUGAGUUUCACACCAUUUUCUUACAUUAACUAGAACUAUGUUUCCACACUAAUACUUAUUACAUUAACUAUUUUACUUAUGCCUCAAGAGCGAAACAUUUGUUUUCUCUUUUAAGAGCACGCUGACAUUAAAUUAGCAAACAUACCUCCAAAGUCUUGUGACUGCUAAUACAAACACCUGCAGCUGCUGUGAAAAGCUUUGUUCUUAUGUGUUCCACCUGUGCGUGUGGCAGGAAAGAAGCUUCCCAAAUCAAAGCAGGAGUUCCUUCUGCCAUGGAGAACAAGGUGAGAAGUUUCUCCAAGUCAGUGCCAUGGAUACAUGCUGAUUUUCAUUUCCUGACCAAAUCUCAGCAAAAAAAGGAAAUACAGGAAAUUCUUAAUUUUGCUGUCAUUCAUAGAAAGUAGUACCACAGAAGCCUACUGCAAAUCUCCAUUCUGAUUUCCAAAUGACAUGGGCUGUUGAGCUUCUAUGACUUCAUACUGCUUUGAAUUCCGCGUGUAUUCCUGAAAGACUCUUGUUUCAGUUUAACCGCUGUCAGCAGCGCUUCACCUACUGCACAACCUCAGGUUGGUCUGACUGUGUCCACCUUCAGCUUUCAGUUACACCUUUGUCUACCAGCCCACUGCCAAACUGCCAUUCCUCUCACAGCCUGCAAAUCAAUGGCCCUUUAAACUUAAGCUUGAACUCAACGGAUUGCACUCUGCAGCUUUCAUCUCGAAGCCUCUCUUCCAGCCUUUUCAUCUUUCAUUUCACUGGGCCACGUCAAAUGUUGUUUGGAUGAGCCUUGUGCUCCUGUGUUUGGGAUAUAAACACUGUUCAUAAACUGAUCCCAUCACUCACUAAGCAUUUACUCUCUUGACAACAGUGGAAGUGAAGCAACUGUAUGAUGAAAACACUGACAGGGAUGUUCUGGACACAGCAUCGCAUUUUGUCAGAUGGAGUAACAGUGCCCCAGAUUGCUCAAAACUGGAAUUGAGGUGCUACAGUGUUUGGUUGCUUUUUAAUUUGGCUGGGCAGGUGAAGGGGAGGCCAGGAUAUAGCCGUCCUCCAACAACAGUCUCAUAAAUUAUUCUUGCUUUUAAAGGUGGCUUUCAUUCCAUAAGCAAAUGUCUGUUUUGAACAGGGAGCAAUGUGUGACACGAGGAGGGUGCCCGUUCUGCCUCCAGCAGCUCUGCCUGCUUUGACAGUUCAGUGACACAGUGCAAGAGUCCCCCUUCCCUCUCCCUGUGUGCUCUUCUCUCACAGUUCUGCUGCCCAAGAGGUUUUCACCUUUUUUCCAAACACCUUUUCGGCUAUUUUUGCUUUCCUAUGCAGAGCACAAGCCCCAUAAUAUUUAAGAAGAAAACAACUGUGAGACCCACAGUGUCCAAAUCAUAAAAAACAAAGAUUUUGUUCAUCCCUGAUCUCCACUGCUGUCAGUUCUGGCACUUUUCACACAUCUGAAAUUCACUUCCAAGUGUGUCACCAUGGCAGGCUCCUUGGUGGCAUCCAGCCUCCUUAAACCCUCAGGCCCCGGAGUGUUGCUGCUGUGGAAAUGCCUGGAGUGCAGAGAGAAGCUGGCUGCUCACUGCCACUGCUCCCACUCUUCUCCCACAAGCGCCAUUUGCACGAGGAAGAAGGAGGACAGGACUGUGCACUUCACUGCUCUGCCACGGCUGCCCACUGGCUGCAAGGAUAAGCGCAGAGAAAGGAGGCAGGGAGAGCCCUGCGCAGAGUCCUGCAGGCAGAAUGUGGGUGAGCUGUGCUACAGAGCUCCGGGCAGGCGAUGGAAACUGGAGUGAGAGUGCACACAGCUCCCACAGCUCUGCUGGAGCACCAGGCCAGGCUGGGGAAGGGCAGCAGAACUCUCCCUAGGUAUUAACAAUAGGGCAGGAAUCCUCUCACUGCUCUUCUUCACUUCUUAGUUCAGCUUCCCUUGAUGACCUUCCCGGCUCCUGAGCUUCACUAUAAAUCACAGACAUGCAAUAACACACAGUUCUGAGCGAGCAAGCAGUUCUCCACUGCAAGUCAGGCUCAUUCCCUAGGUAACUGGAGAUAUUAAGAAGUUAAAUCCUUCGAACUACUCUUGCGAACAGCAGCACUUGACACGGUGACCUGAGACCGGAAUAAUCUCGGGCUCUGAUCUAGUUAAACGUCCUUGUCUAAUAACUGCCUCAGGCUUCCAGACUACAAAAUCUUGGAAAAUAAAGCAGUGUUACAGUAGAAAAAGCCCUUCUUGUGGCAUUCUUGGCUGAGCACCUGCUCUCCAUGAGCCGUUGGUGCAGACAGGUGGGUGGGAAGAGCCGGGCAGCGGCGCUGGGGCAGGGCCAGGCAGCUCAGUCUGCAGUUCAGCUCAGAAUGAAGCCAAAUGAGCUUCCACCGCCUGCUGUCUGUCUGCUUCAGCCCGUCCUGUCAGCUCCGCACAGCCUGCACUGCUCAGCAGGCAGCGCUGCCCAUGGCGGCCGGGCUCUUUGUCUGAGGCUGCAAGGCCUCACAUCCACACUCAGUGCCUGGCCUUGAGAACUGGGGUGAAUUUUCUGGAGCAUGCACAGGGAUCCCACGGGUGGUGACGUCUGGGGUCAGGAAGGACUGUUAACCUGUAUCUGUGCUGCCUGCAUGGCUGUGCAGAGCUGCAGAAGAAGGAGCCUCCAAGCUGUGUCACGUUACACGUGAAACGAUCCCCAGAGAGCAGAGAAAGCUUAAGAGCAACAGUUCUGAAAUAAAUAAUGGAAAAUAAGAAAUCAGGAGUAAAUUGGUAAACCAACUGAGGCCAGGCCCAGGACUAGAAGAGAACUGAUAAUGAUAGGCUCUGCUUUUCCCCUCCAGGCUGCAGCUCCUCCUUUAGCCUCACCAUGGCUGCUCCAGCCCUGCCAGGCUCCCUCAGUGCCUGUCAGGAAUGAAUCUGUGGCUCUGGGAAGCCCAGCAGGAUGGCCAUAUGCCCCCCAGUGACCCGCGGGUCCCGCAGAGCUCCAGGACACCCCUUUUGGCCUGCAACAUUGCUUUGGAACUGCGUGGAUUACAAUGAAGUGCCAUGUCAGCCACGGGGAUAGGACAGAAAAACUAGAGCCUUUGAGGCUCAUUUACCGCAUGGCAGGCACUGCAACUAUACACAGCCGCUCCUGGACGGGAUCCAGAAGUGUCAGCCACAGCCUGAGGGUUAAGUCCCUUCCCUUCUUAUUGAAAACAAUAGUCUAAAGCUCACCAUGAAGCUCUUUGUUCCACAUCCUCUACAAUGAGGCCGAAUGAGACCCCAGGGCAUCCCACAGGGAUAAUCCACCCUCAUGUAACUUGCCCGAGGGCCUGUGAAUUAACAUUUGCAGUGACUGGGUAGGUAAGAACUUUCCUCGCAGCCAUUAUUUGGUGCUGCGUCACCCAUCAGGGCUUGAGCAUUCCUAGGGUGGCCACACACUGUGCAAUAUUUAUUGCAGCCGUAUGCUCAGUGCACAUUCUUUGGGAGUGAUCCAGCAUGCUUCCUCUUCCUUCCAUGUUUUUGUGGUCUUCUACCAAUUAGCCUUCUUACAGAUAUGUAUCCUGUUUCAAAGAACAUUUUUAAUGGGGAAAAAAAACCAAAAAGCCCCACAACAAAACACUGUUGAGAAGUCUUUAGUCUGUAAUGGGCACAACUGACCAUCUCCUCCACAAAACCCAGGAACCUUGAUGUCAUUGAUUUAAUUUCUUGUGACACAUUGGCAGUUUCUGUAAUAUUGCCUCUGGCCCUGGCAUCCAGCCACAGUGGUGAGUCACUGACAAUUCCAUUUCAAGGGUUAAAUUUACAUGUUUUACAUAAUGGGUACACAAAUUUUUCCAUUCCCACUAAUUAAAUGCAUUGAGUCUUCUGUGACUCCACUGUCACUAUGUAAAUGGAGGCAACCUACCAUUGUCAAGCAAGGCACAAGGCUACUGGGUCCAACCCUCCCUGUCAGUCACUCUCUGGAACACAGCCAGGCCUUUGCGGGGCUGCAGAGAUGACCCAGACACUGCAGCAUGUAUUUCUGGACCUCUGAGAGGGGCAGCAGUACGAAGUCUGGAAAAAUAAUAGCGUCUUAGGAACUGUUGAAGACGAGGACUGUCUCUGUGCAAGCUGGGAAGCGUUGGGACUUGACUGUUUGCCACUUGCUGAUUGCACAGAACAGUGCUUAUUAAAAUAAAAUUCCCUACUUUAGUUCCCGUUGCUUGUCUUCAGCAAAAUUCUGGGCUGUGAAGUUGUCAGAAAAUACACAGCCUUGCCUGUCAACAUCUGCACAUUUCUAAAUUCCUGCUGCAGAAAUUUCUCCUCCCUAAGGGUCUAGCUCCUGAGGAGUGGAAGGUACUGAAAAGGCAUUAAAAGGCAGCAAGCUCUGGGAAGGAGCGUGUUUGGAGGUAUUUCACCUCAGACUUGGCAGACUCCUGAAAGCAGCAAAAAAUGCAGUCUAAACCACAGACAUACUUGUACUACAGCAACAGAAAGAAAACACUGCAAGCUUUCAGGGAAGAGACAAUGUCUUUGCCUGUCUUUGUACACAUAUCACUACAUCCUCUGAUCUUGAUUGGCAUCCAUCUCUCUAUUGUAAUUUAAACAAGCAGACAUGUAUGCAUCUUUACAUUCACUGAGCCCCAUGUCAACAGCAGCAAUUCUCUGGAACCCCUGCAUGAAGGCAAACACGAAGCGAGCGUGUCUGGCUCCUUGCAGUCCUGGACAGAUUUGCUGCUCCAAGGCUGCUGCACAGCUCCUCAAGCCUUCUGCUUGCCUCUCCAUCGCUCCCAGCAAGGCCCUGGGAAGCAGCAAGAGAGACACAAGGUGCAGCAUGGCACAGCAUGGCACACUGUGGCAUGGCAUGACACAGCAGUGCUGCCUGCAAGGCGCUGCCAGGGGCUGCCAAGGAAAAGACCAGCCUCCUCCCCUGGGAGCACCCCUACUUGCAGCCAAUGGUUAGCGCAGACACAACAAGAAGUGUACCUCUUAAUUGGACUUCUUGCACUCCAAAUGGCCGCUAAUUAUUUUGCCUCUUUACGAACCUCUUCCCCAGCUGGCUUUCAAGUUGAAUUUCUGCACCUCAGAUAUAUGUAUGAUACUGACUUAGGAAAUAAUGUUCUUACCUUUAAAGUAAUGAAGAAGAAAGGAUCACACAGGGAUAUCAAAGCCAUCCAAAGACAAAUCCAGGUCAAAUGAGAAAAGAAAGAGAGAAAGAGAAAAAAAAUUACAUUUAUAUUUCACUAUGAGCACGCCAGCUAAAUAGGAAAAAGAAAUUUAAUUUCGUGUAUUUUACUUUCUCCAAGAAAAUGAUAAAGUUAAAACAAUGGAGCAAAUGAAACACAGCUAUACAAAGUGCUUUUGUCAGUGGAUAAAGAUUUCAAAGACAGAUGCAAAUAAAUUUUCAUCAGCGUUCCUUUGUGGCACUGAUUUGCUGUCAUCAAAGGAAUAACAGCAAAGUCUUUUAUGUACGAUGAAACUUAACGCAGACACAUACCAUUCUACUUUUGAACAGUAAGUGUAAGUAAUGGGUGCAGAUAUAGAGGAAAGGUAUGGUAUGUAUCAAUACAUCUGUCUGCACGCACUUAACAGGAUUAAUCCCUUGGCAGAACCCCAGUUCCCAAUGGUACGAGACCAGCCUAUUGUACUUGGCACAGCGUCUCAAAGCCUGCGUGCAGUUUUAAUAUCCAGUCACUUUUCUCUAUAUUAGCACUAUACUUCCGGCACUCAA